AGAGUUUGAUCAUGGCUCAGAACGAACGCUGGCGGCAGGCUUAACACAUGCAAGUCGAACGCACCGCAAGGUGGGUGGCAGACGGGUGAGUAACGCGUGGGAACGUGCCCUUCAGUUCGGAAUAACCCAGGGAAACUUGGGCUAAUACCGGAUACGUGCGAGAGCAGAAAGAUUUAUCGCUGAAGGAUCGGCCCGCGUCUGAUUAGCUAGUUGGUAGGGUAAUGGCCUACCAAGGCGACGAUCAGUAGCUGGUCUGAGAGGAUGAUCAGCCACAUUGGGACUGAGACACGGCCCAAACUCCUACGGGAGGCAGCAGUGGGGAAUAUUGGACAAUGGGCGCAAGCCUGAUCCAGCCAUGCCGCGUGAGUGAUGAAGGCCUUAGGGUUGUAAAGCUCUUUCAGCGGGGACGAUAAUGACGGUACCCGCAGAAGAAGCCCCGGCUAACUUCGUGCCAGCAGCCGCGGUAAUACGAAGGGGGCUAGCGUUGUUCGGAAUCACUGGGCGUAAAGGGCGCGUAGGCGGCUUGAUAAGUCGGGGGUGAAAGCCUGUGGCUCAACCACAGAAUUGCCUUCGAUACUGUCUGGCUUGAGACCGGAAGAGGUAAGUGGAACUGCGAGUGUAGAGGUGAAAUUCGUAGAUAUUCGCAAGAACACCAGUGGCGAAGGCGGCUUACUGGUCCGGUUCUGACGCUGAGGCGCGAAAGCGUGGGGAGCAAACAGGAUUAGAUACCCUAGUAGUCC
rnacentral:rRNA from 1 species